GACGAACGCUGGCGGCGUGCUUAACACAUGCAAGUCGAACGGAAAGGCCCUGCUUUUGUGGGGUGCUCGAGUGCGAACGGGUGAGUAACACGUGAGUAACCUGCCCUUGACUUUGGGAUAACUUCAGGAAACUGGGGCUAAUACCGGAUAGGAGCUCCUGCUGCAUGGUGGGGGUUGGAAAGUUUCGGCGGUUGGGGAUGGACUCGCGGCUUAUCAGCUUGUUGGUGGGGUAGUGGCUUACCAAGGCUUUGACGGGUAGCCGGCCUGAGAGGGUGACCGGCCACAUUGGGACUGAGAUACGGCCCAGACUCCUACGGGAGGCAGCAGUGGGGAAUAUUGCACAAUGGGCGGAAGCCUGAUGCAGCAACGCCGCGUGCGGGAUGACGGCCUUCGGGUUGUAAACCGCUUUCGCCUGUGACGAAGCGUGAGUGACGGUAAUGGGUAAAGAAGCACCGGCUAACUACGUG
rnacentral:rRNA from 1 species